CUUCAGAGAGAUUCAAGGAAGGACCAUCCAGCUUCUCAAUAAAAGUGACAGCGCAGCACUACAGCAAAGAAGCAGAGGAGACAGACAAGAUACAAGAUACAGACCAGUGGAGCUCCCUCAAGAGGGCGAAUGCAACAGUCAGAAGAGGGCAGCAGCGCGCACGUUGUCACCGAUAACUCAACAACAACAACAACAACUUACAAAAAUGAAUAAGGACAAUACAAAAAAAACAAGAUGGGGCAAGAAAAAAAGUCAAGAACGGUAAGGGAAGAAAGGGGCAGAAGUGAAGCCAACAAGUUAAAGGUGACCACCUGGGUUUUAUUGGGGGAUGCCCGGGGGUUCCUUUUGUUGAGUUGUGCAGAUGCUUAAAUGUAGAAAGUGGGUUCACAUCCUGACUCAAGACGGGGGUUCACCUUUUCAGCAACGUUGACCCAACAAAUCAAGCUGAAAAAUGUCAGGUCGAUGACACAAGAAGAACUACCAAGGAUGUGAGGGGGCAAUGUAGCGCGCCAUCCUGAAUGAAAGAACCAGCUGCAGAGUUUAAAAAGAAGCAGUUUUACCUGUCAUGGCAGAGAGGAUGUGAUCGCCGGUUUCAGACUUUUUCUCAAGGCCUGGAACACCAAGCAUACAGGGUGUAACCCACUGGAGCGA